ACAACUUUCAACAAUGGAUCUCUUGGCUCUUGCAUCGAUGAAGAACGCAGCGAAAUGCGAUAAGUAAUGUGAAUUGCAGAAUUCAGUGAAUCAUCGAAUCUUUGAACRCACCUUGCGCACCUUGGUAUUCCAAGGAGCAUGCCUGUUUGAGUGUCAUUAAA
rnacentral:rRNA from 1 species